AUACGAAAGGUGCAAGCGUUGUUCGGAUUUACUGGGCGUAGAGAGAGUGUAGGUGGUUUAUUAAGUCGGAUGUGAAAUCCCGGGGCUCAACCUCGGAACUGCAUUCGAUACUGAUAGGCUAGAGUUUGGGAGGGGUAAGCGGAAUUCCGUGUGUAGCAGUGAAAUGCGUAGAUAUACGGAGGAACACCUGAGGCGAAGGCGGCUUACUGGACCAAUACUGACACUGAGACUCGAAAGCGUGGGUAGCAAACAGGAUUAGAAACCCCAGUAGUCC
rnacentral:rRNA from 1 species